CGGGGUGUAGCGCAGGUGGUAGCGCGUUAGACUGGGGGUCUAAAGGUCGCAAGUUCGAGUCUUGUCACUCCGACCA
rnacentral:tRNA from 1 species